AUUGAACGCUGGCGGCAUGCCUUACACAUGCAAGUCGAACGGCAGCACGGGGCAACCUGGUGGCGAGUGGCGAACGGGUGAGUAAUGCAUCGGAACGUACCUUUCAGUGGGGGAUAACGUAGCGAAAGUUACGCUAAUACCGCAUAUUCUGUGAGCAGGAAAGCAGGGGAUCGCAAGACCUUGCGCUGAUUGAGCGGCCGAUGUCAGAUUAGCUAGUUGGUGAGGUAAAGGCUCACCAAGGCGACGAUCUGUAGCGGGUCUGAGAGGAUGAUCCGCCACACGGGAACUGAGACACGGUCCAGACUCCUACGGGAGGCAGCAGUGGGGAAUUUUGGACAAUGGGGGCAACCGUGAUCCAGCCAUGCCGCGUGAGUGGAGAAGGCCUUCGGGUUGUAAAGCUCUUUCGGCCGGGAAGAAAUCGCACGGGCUAAUACCCUGUGUGGAUGACGGUACCGGAAUAAGAAGCACCGGCUAACUACGUGCCAGCAGCCGCCGUAAUAC
rnacentral:rRNA from 1 species